CCUACGGGUGGCAGCAGUGAGGAAUAUUGGUCAAUGGACGCAAGUCUGAACCAGCCAUGCCGCGUGCAGGAAGACGGCUCUAUGAGUUGUAAACUUCUUUUGUCAAGGGACAAAAUCAGGCUCGAGAGCCUGACCGAGGGUACUUGAAGAAAAAGCAUCGGCUAACUCCGUGCCAGCAGCCGCGGUAAUACGGAGGAUGCGAGCGUUAUCCGGAUUUAUUGGGUUUAAAGGGUGCGUAGGGGGACUGUUAAGUCAGCGGUAAAAGCCCGGGGCUCAACCCCGGCGAGCCGUUUAAACUGGCUGUCUUGAGUGGGCGAGAAGUAUGCAGAAUGCGUGGUGUAGCGGUGAAAUGCAUAGAUAUCACGCAGAACUCCGAUUGCGAAGGCAGCAUACCGGCGCCCGACUGACGCUGAGGCACGAAAGCGUGGGGAUCGAACAGGAUUAGAUACCCGUGUAGUC
rnacentral:rRNA from 1 species